rnacentral:ncRNA from 2 species
UGCCAUAAGUCGGGGUGCCGAAAGGCUGAGAUAAUACCCGUGAACCUGAUUCAGUUAGUACUGACGUAGGAAACUUACACCUUAUUUUC